GAUGAACGCUGGCGGCGUGCUUAAUACAUGCAAGUCGAACGGAAUGUAGCAAUACAUUUAGUGGCGAACGGGUGAGUAACACGUUGGUGACCUGCCCCGAAGUGUGGGAUAACAGUCCGAAAGGAUUGCUAAUACCUCAUGUGGUUGCCGGGUUUAGAAGCUGGCAACUAAAGCAGUAAUGCGCUUCGGGAGGGACCUGCGUCCCAUCAGCUAGUUGGUGAGGUAAGGCUCACCAAGGCUACGACGGGUAAGGGACCUGAGAGGGUGGUCCCUCACAAUGGCACUGAAACACGGGCCAUACACCUACGGGUGGCAGCAGUAGGGAAUAUUGGGCAAUGGGCGAAAGCCUGACCCAGCAACGCCGCGUGUGCGAUGAAGGCCCUCGGGUCGUAAAGCACUUUCUGAGGAAUGAGAAUGGACAGUACCUCAGGAAUAAGUCUCGGCUAACUACGUGCCAGCCGCCGCGGU
rnacentral:rRNA from 1 species